CCACGGGUGGCAGCAGUGGGGAAUAUUGGGCAAUGGGCGCAAGCCUGACCCAGCAACGCCGCGUGAGGGAAGAAGGCUUUCGGGUUGUAAACCUCUGUCCUUGGUGACGAAAAAAAUGACGGUAGCCAAGGAGGAAGCCCCGGCUAACUACGUGCCAGCAGCCGCGGUAAUACGUAGGGGGCGAGCGUUGUCCGGAAUUACUGGGCGUAAAGGGUGCGUAGGUGGCCUUUUAAGUUGGAUGUGAAAUCCCCGGGCUUAACUUGGGUGGUGCAUCUAAGACUGGAGGGCGAGAGUGCAGGAGAGGGAAGCGGAAUUCCUAGUGUAGCGGUGAAAUGCGUAGAUAUUAGGAGGAACACCAGUGGCGAAGGCGGCUUUCUGGACUGUAACUGACACUGAGGCGCGAAAGCGUGGGGAGCAAACA
rnacentral:rRNA from 1 species